GAUGAACGCUGGCGGCGUGCCUAAUACAUGCCAGUCGAGCGAACAGAUAAGGAGCUUGUUCCUUUGACGUUAGCGGCGGACGGGUGAGUAACACGUGGGGAACCUACCUAUAAGACUGGAAUAACUCCGGGAAACCAGGGCUAAUGCCGCAUAAAAACUAGAACCACAUGGUUCAAAAGUGAAAGAUGCAUUUACUAUCCCUUAUAGAUGGACCCGCUUCGAAUUAGCUAGUUGGUAAGGUAACGCCUUACAAAGGCAACGAACCGAACCGGACCGGAAAGGGGAACUGGCCAAAUUGGAACUGAGCACGGGCCCAGACUCCUACGGGAGGAAGCAGUAGGAAAUCUUCGGAAAUGGGCGAAGGCCUGACGGGGCAACGCGCGGUGGGGAAUGAGGGUUUUCGGAUGGUAAAACUCUGUUAUAAGGGAAGAAGAAAUGUGUAGGUGACUGUUCACGUCUUGACGGUACCUACUCAGAAAGGCACGGCUAACUACGUG
rnacentral:rRNA from 1 species